rnacentral:lncRNA from 1 species
CCAGGGCACAGAUCCAAGCACAGAUGGAGAGCAGCACAGAUUGCUGAGCCAUUCCAGUCUGAAGGAGGAUGGAUAAAGCUUGGGUAGAAAAUAUGCAAUUUUGCUGCUGUUAUAAAAGCUGCAGGUGGGAGGAUCUUUUUCUUGGAUACAGAGAAGUUGCUUGAUGAGAUUUGGAUUCUUUUUCUUCAACUGAAACUGCUUCUUUGUAUGAGACACUGAGAUACUUUAGUGAAAUGGUGAUAUGUGAAGACUGGAAGAAGCACAGAGGAUGUUAAGUAUUGUUAU